rnacentral:lncRNA from 1 species
AGGAUUAGCCUUCUGUUUCUAGCCUGUUCAGUGUACAGUUUAUUCAAGGCUACAUGCUUUUCUUUAAUGCUUCUGGCUAUGCAUUUUCUCUUUUUACAUAUAGGAUUUGGGAUUGGGGGUGGGUUGGAUGUUUUUGUUUGGGGACUUAUUUAGUAGUAUUGAGUCUCUUAUAGCCCUACUCUUAAGCCUUCAAUACUGUCCACUCUUUAUAUUCCUUUACUUGCAGAAUUUAUAAAAGCCCCCAAACUGCAUAUAAUAUGAGCCUUUAAAACAUGGGUAAAACUAAUCCCAUUGAUGGGUUUGGAUGGUAUGUUAAGAAAUGGAGAUGCUGCAGAGCCCAACGUAAUUUUUUAAACAGCAAGUUUUCCAUCUCCCUACAAAUCCUCUGAAGCUUUUACCCAAGCCCUUUCUUGCCUCUCCAGUGCUAUUUUCCUUCAGAUGGACCUUAAACAUAAUUUCUUGGACACUACUAGAGAGACUUCGAGGCAAUAAUAAAAGAUCAGUAUUAACCAGCUAUAACAGAGGUUUGAUCAUGCUUACUUGUACAGUUUUUCCCCCGUUUUAAAAAGGAAUGUAAUAAAAUUUGUUUUUUCCAUAGAAUUAAAUAAUAUUAAAAUUGAGUGAAAGGUUGAUUGUUGAUGAAUAGAAUAGUACCUCUCAUCUGUGCAGUGUCUCAUUUCACCUCAGAGAAAAGGAUACAUAAGAGGAGUUUGUAAUUUAUCUUAGGAUAUUC